AAUACAGAAAUGUGGAGCCAGACUGGUACCAAGCAGUUCCAGGAUAAGACAAAUGAUCUUUGUGUUACUGGAUCUCUGCACCACCAACUGGGAUUGAAAAAAGAGAAGGCACGGCUUUUCUCUGGGAACAGGGUGUGUGUGCGCACCAAAAAGCACCAAGGAGGAACUGGAGCCUUGGC